rnacentral:ncRNA from 1 species
AAGAGCGAUGAAGCAGAAGGUUGCUGUGUAGCUGAUAAACACAUAGGUUAUGCAGGUUUUUCUGCGGAGCAAUGUCCAGUUCAAAGAAACCGGGCGACAA